UAAGUGAGAGGUGUGUGUGUGCUCUGAUGCCUAAUCAGGAUGCACACAGGCCUCUCAUUUAGUAUCCGGCUCGCACGGUGCUGGGAAGUUUGGUCACCUCUCCCUUCAUUGGAACAAGUAGGAAGGCAAUCAAGAUCCUUAGCACUGGGCUGCUGGAUACUCAGCAGGGUAGGGACAGGGGUGGGUGGAGGGAGGAGUGGCACGGUAGCAACCUGUGGCUGAGGAAGUGAUGCUCACCCCUAGUCCUGACUCAUGUUUUAUUGUCUUUAAUAAAAUAAAUAAAUUGCCGUGGGUUUUAUGUUUUAAUUCUUUUAUUGUAAACUGCCCCAAGCAGCAGGGCACAGGAGAGGCAGGGUAUAAGUAUUCUAAAUAAAGAAAUAAAAUUAAAUAAAAUUAAAUCAGUAGCAUUCAAGUUGUGUUUUGAAUGGUGCUCUUCCCCAAUGAGAAAAUCAGUAGCAGCUGGAAGCCAGCUUCACUUUCUGGCCUUCCUCCACAGUGCAUUGCCAUUAGGCGGUUUGUGUUGGGCAAUGGUAAAGCCUGACAGCCCUGACUGGAAAUAUACAAAGUUGCCCUAUACUGAUUCAGAUCAUUGGCCCAUCAAGCUCAAUAUUGUCUGUGUUGAGAGAUAACAGCUCUCUUUGGGCUUCGGAGGGGGAUCUUUCCUUGCCCUGCCUGGAAUAAACCCAGGCCUUCUGCAUGCAAAGCCUGUUCUCUACCACUGAGCUCCUCCUACAUGAACAAGAAUCUUCUGUUGUGUAUAACAGUUUGUGCAUUCAGACCUACCUUCCACUGGGUUUGGGGCCCUGGUAUAGGGACUUUCCCCAAGCAGGAUAGCAGUAGUGUCCUACUCACAUGUAUAUCCUGCUCACCGAUAGGCACUGAUUACACCCUCUGCCUGCUUAGCUUCAGCCAAGUGUAUCAUGUAUAAUGUUCAUCCUUCAGACCAUGUACAUGAUAAACUUUGCUGAAGCUAAGCAGGUAGAGGUCUAACUAGUGCCUGGAUUGGUGAGCAGGUCCUAGUUUAGACCAUGCCUUGAACCAGACCCACAAGGCACAGAACCAUGUUUUGUCAGUCAGUGGACCACAGGCUAUAUCUUUAUGCUACAAUAUGAAAAUUAUCUGCCACAUGAAUCUAGCAUAAAAUGAAAUUUCAUUCCAUAGGGUUGAAUAGAUAUGUUUUGAUAAUUCUUUUCUAAUCCUUUGUAUUUUCUCAAAAAUUAGGUGUAUAUGGGCAGCAGGCACUGAACAACUUUUGCUUUCAGUCAAAGAUGCCUCCUUGUGACUUUGUACCUGAAAAAAUAUGAGACAUUUAGAAUGAAACCUCCCUUGUGCAUUACUAAGGAAGAUGCAGAUUUUGGAGUGGGAGUUUUUCGUGCUGCUUUAAUGAGACAUUUGGAAUGAAGAGCUACUGCAAAAUAGCAUUCCCAUCCCAGUGGGGCUGCCCUGCAAUCAGAGAUGACAUCUGCAUCUUGAAGAACAUCUAGUUUUCUGAUUAGAUGCUACAGCUGACCAAUUAGAGCUGCAUUUGCCUUGACACAUUUUCUGUGAGAAACACAGAUUGAUUCCUGCUGCCCCAUGUGAAGGACAGCUGGCUUUUAUGCAGGGCACCAAUUACUUGGUAGUUAAAGUUGUUCCACAGCUAAUCAAGCUAUUUGGUAUAAAUAAUUUGAAAAUAUAUUUGGAAUUUAAAGUAGUGUUUUACUUACUUAAUUGAAAGUUGUGUUUACAUGCUGUGCAGCAAGCUGCCCAUGGAAGAAUGGGGUACAUACUCUGGCUUUGCUAGAGUCCAAAUUGCCUCCUCACUUCUGAGUGAGCAGAACUCCAGGCCUCCUGAGAAUUGUGUCAUCACUGCAGCAAUGAGCCUCCCACUGGGAAUAAUAGAGUAUAGUGCCCCUUCCAGAUGGGAGGUUCUAGGAAUUGAAUUUAAACAUCUCCUUCUCCAUGACAUCACUAUUAAUCAACUGCCGCUGCUUUCAAAUUGGGCAAGCUAAAACUCUUGAUACUUCUCCCCCUUGAAGUCAUUUGAGAGUUGCAGUUCUCAAUAUGCUAGUAUAGGAAAUAAGCCCUCUUGAACUGAUGAGAGCUUACUUCACCCAUUAGUUGGUGUGUUGUGGGUGUGGUUAUCCAGUACAAGAAUAAGACCUAUCAUGUGAAGAGCACAGCUGCAGGAGACUAUCUCAGUUAGGUCCAUCUAGUCUGGAACCUUGUCGUAACAGGGCUUGCCAUAGAUUGCAUUUGGAUGGGUGAUUCCUUGUGAGCACUGGUAAAUGUAAUAAAGAAUCCCCUGAGGGCAGAGUUUUUUAAUCUGGGGUCCCCAGAUGAUGUUGGGGACUACUGCUCCCAUGAUCCCCAGCCACAAAGGCCUAAGGUUAAAAAAACAACCCUGCCUUGGGGUAUGGGGCUAUAGCUUAGUGGCACAGCAUCUGCUUGCAUGCAGAUGCAGAACGUUCAGACCUUGAUCUCUCCAGUUAUUGCUGGGCUUGACUCCUGCCUGAAACUUCAGUCUGACUCAAUAUAAAGCAGCUGCCUGUGUGCCUAGGGACAGAAAGAGCCCUUUACAGUAGUAUACCAGCUGCAUGGACUACCUUUAGAGUAAGUGAAUGUCACCAGUCUGCUAACAUUUCAGCUGACCUGCAGUAUACUAGCAGUUGUGCAUAAGAUAGCAGGGCUCUGUUACAGUAUGGCCAUUUCUUAGCCUUGUGUCAGAACAGAAGCAUGCUGUACAUUACUCUUCCGAUCCCGCUAGGAGAUGUACACUAGCAGGAGGUGCUCUAGAGGCAUGGCCCAAAAGCACUUGUAUCUGGAGGAGUAUGCAGCAUAAAGAGCAGAAGCUAAUGCAUCACUUGCCCCUGGUAUAGUGGUUAGAGUGCUGGACUAGAACUAGGGAAACUCAAGUUCAAAUCCCCAUUCAGCCGUAAUACUAGCUUGGUGACUCUGGGCCAGUCACUUCUCUCUCAGCCUAACCUACUUCACAGGGUUGUUGUGAAGAGAAACUUAAGUAUGUAGUAUACCGCUCUGGGCUCCUUGGAGGAAGAGCGGGAUAUAAAUGUAAAAAUAAUAAAUAUUAAAAAAAUAA